rnacentral:miRNA from 1 species
CCGAAAUGCUAAUCUGAAGCUU